AAAAAACAAAAAUGGAUAACUGAAAAAGAAAAAUAUCAAUGAUGAACACAAUAAAGCAGUGACUACUUAAGCAUAGAAACACAAAAUCAUGAAACUCAUGCCUCUGAUCAUUUUUCUUCUCUGCAAAAAACGGGUGCAGAACACAAAGAUAAAGCUAACACAUGAAGUUCCGAAAGGGAAAGCAACGGUGACAGAGAACUAGCCAAU
rnacentral:lncRNA from 1 species